rnacentral:rRNA from 3 species
AAUCGGAAUUACUGGGCGUAAAGCGCACGCAGGCGGUCUGUCAAGUCGGAUGUGAAAUCCCCGGGCUCAACCUGGGAACUGCAUUCGAAACUGGCAGGCUUGAGUCUUGUAGAGGGGGGUAGAAUUCCAGGUGUAGCGGUGAAAUGCGUAGAGAUCUGGAGGAAUACCGGUGGCGAAGGCGGCCCCCUGGACAAAGACUGACGCUCAGGUGCGAAAGCGUGGGGAGCAAACAGGAUUAGAUACCCUGGUAGUCCACGCCGUAAACGAUGUCUACUUGGAGGUUGUGCCCUUGAGGCGUGGCUUCCGGAGCUAACGCGUUAAGUAGACCGCCUGGGGAGUACGGCCGCAAGGUUAAAACUCAAAUGAAUUGACGGGGGCCCGCACAAGCGGUGGAGCAUGUGGUUUAAUUCGAUGCAACGCGAAGAACC